UAGUGCGGGUGCGAGUAAAAUAUAUUCGGCGAGGGCUGCGAUUUUUAUCUCGGGAGUGUUCGGUUGACGUCGUUAAAGCUUAAAAAAAAAGUGUUCGUUCAUAAAUGUUCGUUCAUAAAUGUUCGUUUUUUGGGUCGCGUUUGUCGAUUAUAUGUAAGUGUGCGUUCGGUAAAAAAUAAAAAUACUCGGAAAAUAGUAUAUCUCGUAAGUGUUCGGUUGUCGUCGUUAAAGCUUAAAUAAAAAGUGCUCGUACGUAAGUGUUCGUUUUUGAGUCGCGUAAAAAAUCGUUAGUGUGCGUUCGGUAAAAAACUAAUACAAUCGGGGCAUGGUAACCAUAUCUCGUAAGUGUUCGGUUAACGCCGUUAGUAUGCGUUUGGUAAAAUUAAAAUUACGUACGUGUCCGGUUGUUGUCGUAACGUGUUCAGUAAAAUAGUGUAAUUUGUGUUCGUAAUGAAUAUUGAAUAAUGACAAGCCACAAAUUAUUUGCAUCGCACAGUAGCGGUCGGCGUUAAUCGCUUUGAUGACAACAAAAGAUACCUCACCAACAAAGAGAACGUUCUAAACGUCAAAGCGCGCAACUAAACACACACAUAUGCAUAUACAAAUAUAUGUAUAUGGUAUACAAAAUACCAAAGUGUGUGUGUGCGAAAGGAGGAGAAUGUCGAAUUGUAAUCGAACAAUGCAAUGUGUGGUGGCAAGACGCUUUGCGAUUUUUAUGAUGAGUUCUUGGGAUUUUUUCCAACACGAAAAAAACAAAAAUUAGUCGCAGCAAUGACGCUUGUGCAUAUUCUAUAUCGUCUCUCUCGUUUUGACCCAAAGCAUCGUUUAUUGUGCGCAAAUUAUGCAAUAGCGAAUUUAUGCUCACGCUUACCGCUGGCUUCAUAAUAAUUAUUUGGUGGAAAAUGAAAUCUAUUCCGUUGAAAUCUUCAAAUAUAUCUAUUUUCAAGCAGUGUGUUCUAAAGUAGAAAGUGCAUUUCGGCAAUAUUUGUGUCGAGUAAGCAGUGUUUCGUAGGUGCGUAUAAUCAAUUAAUGUGUAGUGUUCGGGUUUUCGGUCGAUAAAAAAUAUGAAAUUAUGUUCGGUUUUAGUGCGGUUUCGGUGAAAAAGUGAAAUUUUGUGUAAUAUUGAUACCAGUGAUUUGCGGAAGUAGGCGGAUUCAACAAAUAGCAAACAAAUCCAAAACAGAGGCGAUAUU